rnacentral:lncRNA from 1 species
UUUUUUGUAUUUGUAUUUUGUAAAUGUCGGCUGGUAUCAUUUCUGUAUAGGAAUUUACACCAAUAAAAUUAUUUGAUUUGAUUUGAUUUGAUUUGAUUUGAAAAAAGAUCCAUACGUGACAUUGUUAAUCUUAUUCUAAUGCAAUCUUUUUUUGUUUUUAAACCACAAUAAACAUCCAGGUGCAUGACAGGAAAGAUUACAGACAUAAAUUUUCCAAUUUGACUGGCAGAAGUCAUU